UACAGAGGGUGCAAGCGUUAAUCGGAAUUACUGGGCGUAAAGCGUGCGUAGACGGUUAUGUAAGUCGGGUGUGAAAGCCUCGGGCUCAACCUGGGAAUUGCAUUCGAGACUGCAUGGCUAGGGUGCGGAAGAGGGAAGCGGAAUUUCCGGUGUAGCGGUGAAAUGCGUAGAUAUCGGAAGGAACACCAGUGGCGAAAGCGGCUUCCUGGUCCAGCACCGACGUUCAGGCACGAAAGCGUGGGGAGCAAACAGG
rnacentral:rRNA from 1 species